ensembl:lncRNA
AAAUUAAAAUGCAACAGCUUCUAUGUGGAGCCUUUUCUUUCCACAUAUGAAACAGUCAUACAGCCAGAAAUCUCUACCAUCAAAUGGAAAAAGAGCUGCACUGUAUCUAUACAGCAAGUGGUUGGCAUAUUGAACCUCUUACACUUUGCUUACAAGAGGUAUGCAGAAAAUUCAGGUAAUUUUAUUUUAUUUUAUUUAUACAGCAUUGAAUCACAACAACAGUUACCUCAAGGUGCUUUAUAUUAUAAGUUAGACCAUACAAUAAUACACAGAGAGAAAGCCCCCCAAAUCAUAUGACCCCCUAUGAGUAAGCGCUUUGGCUUUAUACUGUAAGUUAAAGACUACAAUGAUACAGAGAAACCCAACAAUCAGACGGCCACCUUUGAGCAAGUACUUGGCGACAGUAGGAAGGAAAAACUCCUUUUUAACAGGAAGAAACUUCCAGCACAACCAGACUUAGGGAUCAGCCAUCUGCUGGGACCGGGUGGAGUAACAGAGGGUAAUUCAGGGCAACAAAACAGCACAUUUUCUCAGAUUAAACGUUCAGAAAUUUUCUAAAUUUCAAAAAGACACAAAUUUAUUAGACAUAAAACAACAGCACCACUUUAGGUGGUACCAGUCAAUUAUCUCAUCAAAUUAUAGCAGACUUUGCAGUCAGGCAUUGGUAAUAUAAUCAGAAGUAUGCAUACUUUGAGAAUAGAAUACAGCUCCCUGAUUCGUACGUUCCCUCUGCAAGGCAAUGCGUGCGUGCAAGGGCAUUGCUGGUUGCAUCAUCCAUGUCCUCAAUAACAGCAACUGGAGGUUUAUCCAACACUUGCAAAGUGAAAGGAUGUGAUUUUGAGACAAUUUUGUUCUUAUUAAUUUUGUAUUUUUGUGCAAAUUUACCAUUUUUUGCAACAUUUUAUUUUAUUUUAUUUUUUACCUGCAGUGGUUCUGAUAUGUUUUAGUAAUAGUAAUUUAGUACGGUUGUUGUUACAACCCUCAUCAGCAACAGAAUUUAUAGUGGAAGCAAACAGCAUUUUUUUAAACAAAGAGGAGAAAAUAAAUCCUUUUUCCUUUUUAGCAAAUUUUGGUAAGUAUUUAACUGCUAAAAAGGAACACGCUUUCAUAAGGAGUUGGUGAAGACACAACAGGGUUUACAGAUGAACAUUUGCCAGGUGGCGAACUUAAAAUGAUAGCUUGGGUUGUUCUGUUUCUGCUAAACAAAGCGGCAACAUGUUGACAGCAGUGUUUGCCAGGUGUUCCAGCCAUCCUAUGCCAUCAUUUUCAUUCUGGUGCUUUUUAGAUUUUUAAGCAAUAUUUUGGGUAAUUUCAAAACUUUGUUAGUUUUUUACUCUAUGAAAUUCACGAUUCUAGACAUGGAGUUGACAAGUGUCAGUGCUGGGUCUCUGUGUCAUUUAAUGUUAUGCCUUUGUUUCAGAGUUGUAAAAUAAACUGUUGACAGCAAUAUUUUUGGGUGAUAACGUCCAGUCUCACACGGAUGCAGGCAGAAAAGUGAAUACUGACAUAAUGAGUGAAAAUAAGGUAAAACCAGGUGACUUCAACCAGGAGUGGGACUAGCCAAGCAAGAGGCUCAUUCCUUAAUGAGUGGGCACCCUUGCAGCAUGGAUGCGGUUUGGGCUACAGAAAGCUUGACACAGACAAGAAAACUGUGCUUGCAAAUCAUGCCACACACCAGCAACAGGCUCAGACACCACAAACCUUUGACCACCUACACAAGAACCACAUGAAAGAGUCUGGAGAGAGUUUACGAAUAAAAAAAAAAGUCAACGUUAGAAUCUUUGCUACCAUUUAAACUUAAAAUUACAAUCUUUACAUUUGUAUUUUAGAUCACAAUAUUUUACGUUAGGACAUCUAACCAUUUGUUUGUGAAGAGUGCUUCAAAUUUGAUAUACAGUAUUCUUUUAUUCAGAAUUAAACAUAUGAUGAUUCACGAUAUACUUGAAAUGUAUAAAAGAAAGCUUUUUCCAUGUGGUCUUUAUAUAAUCUAUUAAAUGACUGAACUGACAGAAAAUGUACCAUGUUGUUAUAUAUAUUAUUGUUAUGUUAUUGGGUUAUACUGGGAUAUGAGAUUUUGGUCACUGUGCUACUAUAUUAUGGCAAACUCCAUAUUAAGGAUAACAAAGCAGCAACUUUAUCUUCUGCUGCUACUUUUUGACUUAAAAUUGUGGUUCUGUGGUUGAUUCUCUUGGUUCCAUUCAGCCCAGCAUAUGCUUUUAUAGCAAACUGAUAGCCCAAUUAGCUUCUCACUACCUCUUUAAAUAGAUGGGCUGUGAUCACGGUGCUAUUCAAAUCUGUAAUAUAAAGUAAGGACACGGGUCAACGACUGGAAAUGUGUACAUAGUGAGGGUUUCAGCGCAACAUGGAAUAGAGUUGUCGAACAUUAGAGGGCAAAUUAGCCACAUGCUCGGGGUUUGGAAAUAAAACACUGCAGAGGAAUGUAGUGUGACCACACCUCACUGCCCUCGCUGUUCUUUUAUUUGACAUUAAGAUAAUGGCAGUGAAUGAAAGGAAUUCCCACAGAACUCUUUUACCCUUUUUUUCACCCUUCUAGUUCCUCCAGUUUAUUUCCCGUUUCACGUCCCUUUGCAGUUUUCUCUCGCUCCUUUCUCCCUUCCAUCUCUUCCUUAAUGUAUCCCCGUGGAUGAACAGAGCCGUAAAUCUCAGCCUUGUAUCUGUCCAUCACAUCUCAUAAAAGUCUUAUUCGUCCCAGCAGAAACUCGGACUCCUCUCCCCAUAAAUGUUUUUUGGGUGGCAAAGAUCCCUGUAAAUAAUUUGUUGCUAUGUAUUUUACAAAUCGUGCUCCCCGUGUGAUGUCCGUCUUGUUUCAAUCACUCCCCGGAACGGAUGAUUUGAUGCACAGCAUGCACAGAUUGUUACAAGGUGGACUGGGGUUUGAAUUGAAGGAUGGAUGCACGCAUGCAAGCGCAGAAAAAAGAGCGACUUUGCAUAAUGCAAAGGCAUUCUUUUGACCUGCGGGGUCAAGCUAUCUCCGCCUCUUAUUUGUGCUCCUAUGGGCAGUUCUGUUGCUUUUCCUUUUGGGAAUUUAUGGAUACAAAGAGUCUUUUUCUGCAGGUUCUGAAUCAUUUAUGAUUUUUGACCUCAUACCCAAUAAAUUCAACCAUAGAAAGAAACCUGGAUGAAAGGGUCUGUUUGCAUAAAAUCCUUCAGCUGGAUCAGCAAAGUUAGCUUCGAUUACACAAUAAAGACUCUACAUAUGGGGGUCAUUAAUGCAACAAAACCAAGAUUCAUUUUACACAUUCAAAUACAGAAAUGUACUUCUUUCUAAUUUUAACGAGUUUCCUUAUAUGUAUUUUCUCCUUUAUGUAUAAAAACAUAUGGUGCCUUUCAAAACCACAAAUUUAAGUCUUUAUUAUUUUUCAUAUAAUUUUGCAGAAAGGGUGGCAAUAUUAAUGUAAAAAGUAUGAAUUAGAGGAUGAUCAAAAUCAACAGACAUGAAUUGACCAAAAUAAAACAAUCAAAAAAAAUAUUAAUGCUUUAUUUGUUACUGUAUGGUAGGACAAUAUAUUGAAAUAUACAAAAAAUAUAAAGCCUGUGAUUAUUGCUUUUGCAGGAGAGAAGAAUUCUAAAGUUUCCAUUGAUAUUUGAAUAAUAAAUGAUCUGUUAUUUCUCCAUUUGAUUCUCCAGCCCUUGCUGUUUGUCAUGUUUCUCAACCAAAUGUGUCCCAUGAACUCAUUGCCAUUUAUUACAAUAUAUGCAAAUCCAGAAGAUGGCAGUGCAGAGCUUCAGCUGCUGUCAGUAAUACAGCCUGACAUUAUCUUGUGCUCCAGUUUGUGCUCAGUAGCGUCUCUGGAAGUCUUGAGGACUCAAGACUGAUAUGAAUGUAACUUUAGUGCUACCUGAAGUUGAUCCUAAUAUAACUGUAAGUAUGUAUGUUUUUGUGGUUGUUGUUGUUACUUUAGUUUUCUCAUUUUUUAUAUGUUCUAUAAGUUCAACUCUGUCCAUCAUUACAGAGAAUUGCAGGAACUAUCAGUCUAACUGUCUUUGUCUGCUUGGCUAUUAGCGGAGCAGACAGACCAUCAGAUUGAUGGAACCAGAGUGGAAUCAAUUAUUCUGGUUCACUAAUGGACAACCUCUAGCAUUCUGUUCAGAAUCAGACACACUUGAAACCCAACAGUUGGUGAAAAAAAACACCUGCUGGACUUCAUCUGGACAAACCUGGGAGGUUACGUCACUGAUCUCGAGUUGCUGUUUCUCCCAUCAAACCUCAAUGGAUAGCCACAGCGACCACAGCUUUUCCAGACCCUAGCGGCUGGCGGUUGGGAGCACGCUCAGUUGCUGCUGCUCUGUUUCCUGAACAUUUCAUGAUGCUUCACAAACCUGUGAGGGGCAGUAAAAAGUGAUAUUUCCAUUGCGACCCAUGUGUGUGGACGGUGGACAGGUCUAUAUGUGUAAGGAUGCCUAUGGUGGCCCCAUGAUCGGAAGGUCGGGGGUUCGAAUCCACUGAACGGCUACCCUGAGGUACCCCUGAGCAAGGUACCGUCCCAGUGGCUGCCCACUGCUUCACUGAGUGGGUUAAAUGCAGAGUGGAAUUUCCCCACGGGGAUCAAUAAAGUAUACAUUAUUAUUAUUAGGUCUUUCCGUAUGAAUAGGUGUGUAGUGGGUUAUUGUCUGCUUCUGUGUUUAUGAAUGUGUGUAGAUGUGACACUGGUUGCUCCAUCUGCGAUGACCUCAUUGUAAUAAUGACACCAUUAUUCUCUCUAACUAAGAUUCCAUCCUUAACUUCAGAUGACAGUUGAAGCUCCUUCAGCCCCAGCAUAUGUGUGUGUGUGUGUGUGUGUGUGUGUGUGUGUGUGUGUGUGUGUGUGUCAAAGACAUAUGCCCCAGGACACACAGCUGAGCCGGCUGGUGGAGGCUAACGUUUCACUACAUAA